rnacentral:rRNA from 1 species
UACGGAGGGUGCAAACGUUGCUCGGAAUCAUUGGGCGUAAAGCGCACGUAGGCGGGUUGUUAAGUCGGAUGUGAAAGCCCUCAGCUUAACUGAGGAAGUGCAUUCGAAACUGACUACCUUGAGUAUGGAAGAGGGUCGCGGAAUUCCCGGUGUAGAGGUGAAAUUCGUAGAUAUCGGGAGGAACACCAGUGGCGAAGGCGGCGACCUGGGCCAAUACUGACGCUGAGGUGCGAAAGCGUGGGGAGCAAACAGG